UAUUCAAAAUAUAUCAAACAAGAAAAUACCAUAUGUAAAUACAAUAUGAAAAGAGCAUGUAGUCAUAGAUAUAAACAGAAUAUCAUAUUGACACUUAAAUUAUAUGAAAGAUGGAAGUUAACUUAUUGAGAUAAUAUGACCAAACAUGGAAAUUAAAUGGAUCGACAGAAUAAUUAAAAUGAAACAGGAGUAAACAUUGAAUAUUAUAAUAAAUAAAAAAUACGUGACAAAGGCGGGGAAAUGUUUGGAAAUUGUUACAAAUUAAUACAGGAAAAAAGUAUAAGCCUGAUUAUGAGCCAAUGAAAUUGGAUUGGGGCGUCGAAAACACCUUC